AGUCACAGGAAGCCUGGUCCUGCUGGUCAGGUGUCCUGGCCGCUCCGUGGGCCUCUGUCAUCUCACCUGUAAAUCCCCAGGUUCAGAGGGCCCAGGGUAGUUGUCGGGAUUAAGUGAGAAACGGUGUAAAGUGCUUGGCUGGCCCUGGGCUGAGAGAGGUCAGUGAGGGCCAUGGCCCUGGGCUGUGGAGCGUGGUCUGGUCAAUGCAGGUCACAGCCCUGGGCCGAAAGGGACGGCCUGUGUGGGAUGUCCUAGCUGAGGGGGAAUGGCGUCCUGGGAGCUUGGGUCUCGCCCUCCCCUGGCCUGAGGGCUCCGCUGAGGGACCACCCGCUCUUACCAGCAACCGUGGGCGCUUCUCCAAGACAAGUGAGGAGGGGUCCACCCCUAAGGGUCGAAGGGUCACACAUUUGAAACGAGGAGACAGCAAGUUCGUGUGACCUUCACGUCCCACCAGUAGGUAUCAGGGUCCCAUCUUACAAUCGGAGCUUGGAAGGGCGAAGGCGGGAAGCCCAGGACGGCGCAGCUGUGGGCAGGACACAGUGGCUCCACGCGGGGCAGCGAGAUCACAAGCCAGGCAGACCUCCAUCACUUUGCUCAUGGCUGCAGGAGGCGUGGGUUCUUUUUGGGUGAUGUUUUAGGUUGAGCUUGGGGUGUUUUUACAACCCCAGUAUAAAAACAAUACAUGCUCCUCACAGGAAGUUCCCCUAAGUUGCUCCUACAUGGUCACGUGUUCUUAAGUUUUACUAUGAACACGAUGCAUUUCCAGUUGCCUGCAGUCCUCGGAAGUGGGCGCGUUGCAGCGUGGGCUGCUCUGCGUCGCGGGUGCCGCCACGUUCAGAUGGUGGAAUCUUUUUCUCUCUGCCUGCUCAUUCGUUUUUCAACAAGGAGAGGCUUGUCUGGGCCCGGGUGGGUGGCAGUGAUCUCCUUAGCACCCUGCCCCGAGCCCACGAGAGGCCCUCAGAAACGCUGGGCCAGGUGCUGUGGACAGCCUGACCACGCCCCACGUUUAGCAAUCAUUUCCCUGCUCGGGCUUCAGUUCUUCCUGGGUCUGGCCAGGUAACUAUUUAUAGAAAGUGGAAAAAGUACAGUCUUAACAGCUAACAUCAGACUCUUCCAAGUGAAGGACCGUCUGUGUCAGGGAAGACAUGUUGACAGGCGGGCUGCCCAGGGCGUGGCUGCCACGGUGGCUCAGCCUGGCGGCGGAGGUCUGAUGGGGGAGGGGAGGCAGUGGCUGGGGACCGGCGGUGGGCGAGGGCCCGCGGAGAGGGCCCCGGUGUGGAGCGAGGCUGCCUCGAUCAAUGUGAACGUCUCUGUGUGGCUUUAGGUGCCCGGCCCUGCUUUCUGGUUUUCUCCAAGCCCCCUCGUGUGACGGAUUUCGGCUCCGUGGCUUAUGGAGUGUGACGGCUCUGCCAGCCCGCUGCCCAGGUGGCAGCAUGGUCCCUUGAGUGUGUGGCCCGGCCUCACAUGCUUCACUUCUGCUCCCAAUGUGAGCGCGGCUUUAGACCUGAAGCUCCCGGGAGGUCUGCCCAGCGUCUGGCCCGGGAGACGGGGAUUUACCACCACUAAGAGUGGGUGCGGGAGUGACCAGCCUGGACUGCACAGGACACGCCUGAGGGGCACAGAACACCUGCUGGGACCUCAGGCCUAGAGACGCUCCAGGCAGCUGGGGCUCCCGACUUCCUCGACUUCCUCGGCUGGCCAGCCUGCCUCCUGGCAGAAGCCUUGGUCAAGGCCCCACCUCCCUUGGCCCCCCCAGCCCAUCCCACAUAUGUGGCCCGCCCCUCCCCUUUUUGGACAGCGUCCCCUGACUCCGUGGACACCACUCCUACCGCCUCAGCACUCGCUCCUGUCCGGAAAACGCAGCUGUUCCCCAACAUUGUGGUGUCGGCCCUUACGGUGGAUGUUCGGCCAUGUGCCAAGCCCCCAUUGCCGUGCACGUGACAGGAGUGGUUGCGUGGGGCCCGUGCGCGCCCGAUCACUCGUGUGAGCCCUUUGCUUAUCUGGCGAGCUGCCUGGAAUGUUCCAGGUGCUCUUCCCCUCAGCACGGGCCCCUGACGAUCCAGUGACGGGAAGACCCCAGCCCACUGCCACCUGAAGUGUACAAGCAGCACGAGUGUAAAAUAAACCUUUGUGGUUGGAAA